rnacentral:rRNA from 1 species
UGGGGAAUAUUGGACAAUGGGCGCAAGCCUGAUCCAGCCAUGCCGCGUGAGUGAUGAAGGCCCUAGGGUUGUAAAGCUCUUUCACCGGUGAAGAUAAUGACGGUAACCGGAGAAGAAGCCCCGGCUAACUUCGCGCCAGCAGCCGCGGUAAUACGAAGGGGGCUAGCGUUGUUCGGAUUUACUGGGCGUAAAGCGCACGUAGGCGGACUUUUAAGUCAGGGGUGAAAUCCCGGGGCUCAACCCCGGAACUGCCUUUGAUACUGGAAGUCUUGAGUAUGGUAGAGGUGAGUGGAAUUCCGAGUGUAGAGGUGAAAUUCGUAGAUAUUCGGAGGAACACCAGUGGCGAAGGCGGCUCACUGGACCAUUACUGACGCUGAGGUGCGAAAGCGUGGGGAGCAAACAGG